UAACUCAGUCAGUUGAGCAUGGCGCUAACAACGCUAAGGUCACGGGUUCGAUCCCCGU
rnacentral:tRNA from 1 species